rnacentral:snoRNA from 1 species
UGUCCCCUUUUAGCUUUGCCCACUUGAGGUGUUUUGUGUCUUAAGUGGCCAUUAUGAAGGGGUAAACAAUGGUCCUCUCAAGAGACCUGAGUCAGGAUCUACAUUUCUGGCUCCGGACCAAUACAGAGGAACAAAU